ACUUAAAUUGAAGAGUUUGAUCAUGGCUCAGAUUGAACGCUGGCGGCAGGCCUAACACAUGCAAGUCGAGCGGUAGCACAGAGAGCUUGCUCUCGGGUGACGAGCGGCGGACGGGUGAGUAAUGUCUGGGAAACUGCCUGAUGGAGGGGGAUAACUACUGGAAACGGUAGCUAAUACCGCAUAACGUCGCAAGACCAAAGUGGGGGACCUUCGGGCCUCAUGCCAUCAGAUGUGCCCAGAUGGGAUUAGCUAGUAGGUGGGGUAAUGGCUCACCUAGGCGACGAUCCCUAGCUGGUCUGAGAGGAUGACCAGCCACACUGGAACUGAGACACGGUCCAGACUCCUACGGGAGGCAGCAGUGGGGAAUAUUGCACAAUGGGCGCAAGCCUGAUGCAGCCAUGCCGCGUGUGUGAAGAAGGCCUUCGGGUUGUAAAGCACUUUCAGCGGGGAGGAAGGCGAUAAGGUUAAUAACCUUGUCGAUUGACGUUACCCGCAGAAGAAGCACCGGCUAACUCCGUGCCAGCAGCCGCGGUAAUACGGAGGGUGCAAGCGUUAAUCGGAAUUACUGGGCGUAAAGCGCACGCAGGCGGUCUGUCAAGUCGGAUGUGAAAUCCCCGGGCUCAACCUGGGAACUGCAUUCGAAACUGGCAGGCUAGAGUCUUGUAGAGGGGGGUAGAAUUCCAGGUGUAGCGGUGAAAUGCGUAGAGAUCUGGAGGAAUACCGGUGGCGAAGGCGGCCCCCUGGACAAAGACUGACGCUCAGGUGCGAAAGCGUGGGGAGCAAACAGGAUUAGAUACCCUGGUAGUCCACGCCGUAAACGAUGUCGAUUUGGAGGUUGUGCCCUUGAGGCGUGGCUUCCGGAGCUAACGCGUUAAAUCGACCGCCUGGGGAGUACGGCCGCAAGGUUAAAACUCAAAUGAAUUGACGGGGGCCCGCACAAGCGGUGGAGCAUGUGGUUUAAUUCGAUGCAACGCGAAGAACCUUACCUGGUCUUGACAUCCACAGAACUUUCCAGAGAUGGAUUGGUGCCUUCGGGAACUGUGAGACAGGUGCUGCAUGGCUGUCGUCAGCUCGUGUUGUGAAAUGUUGGGUUAAGUCCCGCAACGAGCGCAACCCUUAUCCUUUGUUGCCAGCGGUUAGGCCGGGAACUCAAAGGAGACUGCCAGUGAUAAACUGGAGGAAGGUGGGGAUGACGUCAAGUCAUCAUGGCCCUUACGACCAGGGCUACACACGUGCUACAAUGGCAUAUACAAAGAGAAGCGACCUCGCGAGAGCAAGCGGACCUCAUAAAGUAUGUCGUAGUCCGGAUUGGAGUCUGCAACUCGACUCCAUGAAGUCGGAAUCGCUAGUAAUCGUAGAUCAGAAUGCUACGGUGAAUACGUUCCCGGGCCUUGUACACACCGCCCGUCACACCAUGGGAGUGGGUUGCAAAAGAAGUAGGUAGCUUAACCUUCGGGAGGGCGCUUACCACUUUGUGAUUCAUGACUGGGGUGAAGUCGUAACAAGGUAACCGUAGGGGAACCUGCGGUUGGAUCACCUCCUUACCUUAAAGAA
rnacentral:rRNA from 2 species